ACUCAAAUGAAUAGACGGGGACCCGCACAAGCGGUGGAGCAUGUGGUUUAAUUCGACGCAACGCGAAGAACCUUACCUGGACUAGAAUGCCUUCGACAGUCCCGUAACGGGGAUCUCUUGGGUAAAACCAAGCGGAGUGCAAGGUGCUGCAUGGCUGUCGUCAGCUCGUGUCGUGAGAUGUUGGGUUAAGUCCCGCAACGAGCGCAACCCUUAUCAACAGUUGCCAUCAUUAAGUUGGGAACUCUGUUGAGACUGCCGUUGAUAAAACGGAGGAAGGUGGGGAUGACGUCAAGUCCUCAUGGCCUUUAUGUUCAGGGCUACACACGUGCUACAAUGGCUGGUACAAAGCGCAGCAAGCCCGCGAGGGGGAGCCAAUCGCAAAAAGCCAGUCCAAGUUCGGAUUGCACUCUGCAACUCGAGUGCAUGAAGCUGGAAUCGCUAGUAAUCGCAAAUCAGCAUGUUGCGGUGAAUACGUUCCCGGGUCUUGUACACACCGCCCGU
rnacentral:rRNA from 1 species